UACAGAGGGGGGCAAGCGUUAUUCGGAAUUAUUGGGCGUAAAGGGCGCGUAGGCGGCUUGGCAAGUGGAUGGUGAAAUCCCUCGGCUUAACCGAGGAACUGCCGUCCAAACUGCUUCGCUUGAGACCGGGGAGAGGUGAGUGGAAUUCCCAGUGUAGCGGUGAAAUGCGUAGAUAUUGGGAGGAACACCAGUGGCGAAGGCGGCUCACUGGACCGGUACUGACGCUGAUGCGCGAAAGCGUGGGGAGCAAACGGG
rnacentral:rRNA from 1 species